AGCUCCAAUAGCGUAUAUUAAAGUUGUUGCGGUUAAAAAGCUCGUAGUUGGAUCUCAGGUCCCGGCUCGCGGUUCACUUCACGGUGCUUACUGCCCGUCCGGACCUACCCGCCGGUUUUCCCUUGGUGCUCUUCAUUGAGUGUCUCGGGUGCCCGGAACGUUUACUUUGAAAAAAUUAGAGUGUUCAAAGCAGGCGCUUCGCCUGAAUAAUGGUGCAUGGAAUAAUGGAAUAGGACCUCGGUUCUAUUUUGUUGGUUUUUCGGAACUCGAGGUAAUGAUUAAGAGGGACGGCCGGGGGCAUUCGUAUUACGGUGUUAGAGGUGAAAUUCUUGGAUCGCCGUAAGACGAACUACUGCGAAAGCAUUUGCCAAGAAUGUUUUCA
rnacentral:rRNA from 1 species